AGUGAACGCUGGCGGUAGGCCUAACACAUGCAAGUCGAACGGCAGCACAGUAAGAGCUUGCUCUUACGGGUGGCGAGUGGCGGACGGGUGAGGAAUACAUCGGAAUCUACUUUUUCGUGGGGGAUAACGUAGGGAAACUUACGCUAAUACCGCAUACGACCUACGGGUGAAAGCAGGGGAUCUUCGGACCUUGCGCGAUUGAAUUAGCCGAUGUCGGAUUAGCUAGUUGGCGGGGUAAAGGCCCACCAAGGCGACGAUCCGUAGCUGGUCUGAGAGGAUGAUCGGCCACACUGGAACUGAGACACGGUCCAGACUCCUACGGGAGGCAGCAGUGGGGAAUAUUGCACAAUGGGCGCAAGCCUGAUCCAGCAAUACCGCGUGGGUGAAGAAGGUCUUCGGGUUGUAAAGCCCUUUUAUUGGGAAAGAAAAGAAGCAGGAUAAUCCCCCGCUGUUCUGACGGUACCCAAAGAAUAAGCACCGGCUAACUUCGUG
rnacentral:rRNA from 1 species